CCUACGGGCGGCAGCAGUGGGGGAUAUUGGACAAUGGGGGAAACCCUGAUCCAGCGACGCCGCGUGAGUGAAGAAGUAUCUCGGUAUGUAAAGCCCUAUCAGCCGGGAAGAAAGAACUGACGGUACCUGAGUAAGAAGCCCCGGCUAACUACGGGCCAGCAGCCGCGGUAAUACGUAGGGGGCAGGCGAUAUCCGGAAUUACCGGGGUGAAGGGGAGCGUAUACGGUAAUGCAAGUCUGGAGUGAAAGGCGGGGGCCCAACCCCCGGAGUGCUCUGGAAACUGUGUAACUGGAGUGCAGGAGAGGCAGGCGGAAUUCCUAGUGUAGCGGUGAAAUGCGUAGAUAUUAGGAAGAACACCGGUGGCGAAGGCGGCCUGCUGGACUGUAACUGACGUUGAGGCUCGAAAGCGUGGGGAGCGAACAGGAUUAGAUACCCCAGUAGUC
rnacentral:rRNA from 1 species